GUGAGUUUGGCGCUUGGGUUUGUUGUUGGAUUUUGGGGAGUUUGUGGGAGUUUAAUGUUCAUCAGGUCAUGGAGAUACACAUACUUCAAGUUCUUGAACUGUGUAUACGACUGGCUUUAUGUGAGGGUGGCGUUGAUUAGGCGACGAAGAAUUGUUUAUGGGUAAAUUCUCGUGCAUCUACCGUUCGCAAGCCAUGCUCCCCUUCAGCCGGAGAAGGAGAUGGAAGAGUGCAAUUAGAAGUUAUGAUUUGGUGAAAGUGUUGUGCUUGAUUUAGGGGUGUGUUUGUUUUUGCAAUUAUGUUAUUCAGAUUAUCUUUGAGGGGUUAAUUAGGUCCCUUUAAUCCCCUUUUACUUGGUGUUAUCAUUUUAUCAUUAAAUUUUCUUGAGAAACUUGCAGAAACUUAUUAAUCAAGCAACAAAGAGAAAAGCAGACAUAUAGUUCAAU